rnacentral:rRNA from 1 species
UACGUCUGUCGUGAAAUCCCCGGGCUCAACUGGGAAUGGCGGUGGAAACCGGUGUACUAGAGUAUGGGAGAGGGUGGUGGAAUUCCAGGUGUAGCGGUGAAAUGCGUAGAGAUCUGGAGGAACAUCAGUGGCGAAGGCGGCCACCUGGCCCAAUACUGACGCUGAGGCACGAAAGCGUGGGGAGCAAACAGGAUUAGAUACCCUGGUAGUCCACGCCCUAAACGAUGAAUACUAGAUGUUUGGUGCCAAGCGUACUGAGUGUCGUAGCUAACGCGAUAAGUAUUCCGCCUGGGAAGUACGGCCGCAAGGUUAAAACUCGAAGGAAUUGACGGGGGCCCGCACAAGCGGUGGAGCAUGUGGUUUAAUUCGAUGCAACGCGAAGAACCUUACCUGGGCUUGACAUGUCUGGAAUCCUGCAGAGAUGCGGGAGUGCCCUUCGGGGAAUCAGAACACAGGUGCUGCAUGGCCUGUCGUCAGCUCGUGUUGUGAGAUGUUGGGUUAAGUCCCGCAACGAGCGCAACCCUUGUCCUUAGUUGCCAGCGGUUCGGCCGGGCACUCUAGGGAGACUGCCGGUGACAAACCGGAGGAAGGUGGGGAUGACGUCAAGUCCUCAUGGCCUUUAUGUCCAGGGCUACACACGUGCUACAAUGGCGCGUACAGAGGGAAGCCAAGCCGCGAGGUGGAGCAGACCCCAGAAAGCGCGUCGUAGUUCGGAUUGCAGUCUGCAACUCGACUGCAUGAA